rnacentral:lncRNA from 10 species
UUCUUAAUUUAACACACUCUGCACACUGUGAUUAUGAUAGUGGUAAAUUCACUGAGGCAAGGGCCAAGCAGGGCUGCAGAUGGAUAGGAAAGGUUCUCUGGCAUCUUUCUAUAAACUUACGAGGAUGCUGGCCAUGAUGAUGGUGGCGGUGGUAAGGGGAGUUCCUCUGACUCCGACCUCAUGUCUUUGGCAGGAGUUGAAAUGAAUAAUAAAGCUGGGUUUAUGAUUAGAUAGAAUACCAGAGCAGAGAGAGCAGUUAGAGGGAGAAGCUGUCUUAUUUUAGGAAGCAUGAUGACUUAUUUUUUCAAAAUCUGAAUUCGAUAUUCCCCUUUGCUAAGAAUUGGUGUGGGUUUUGUUGUUGUUGUUUGUUUCUUAACAAAAUAAAAGAGAAGAAGAUUCCCAUAAGCAGAGCUUAAUCAUUUAAAUCUAAAAAGGCAAUCAGCAGUUGAUUUUAGGGUGGCAGGGUCCUGCCAAGGCCUUAGGAGAAGGCCGAGGGAAACCUCCCAAGCCUUGGAUAACUAGCCUGGAGGGUGUGCAGGUUUCCUCCAGCUUGGGCACAUCUGCCUUGCCCCAUAGAGAAUGUUAACAAGAUACCUGCUGUUUUCCCUUCUGCCUCUAUGCAGGACAGCUUCUGAAAUCCUAAACUGCACAGGGUGUCACUCCAAAAACAGACAGAUAGUAGCUGCUAAAUUAGAGAACCCAGAGGGCACAAGGUUGGGUUUUGUUUUUCUAGGAAAGAGUGUAAAACUGGAGUGUCUGACUAGUGCCCCGGAUAGGGAGGCUUAAUAGGUUUGGGGUAACUCAUCCCCAUGAGCUCUGCUCUACUCUCAUCCACACCUGCCAGAAGGGGUCAGGGUGAAGCCGAUGGACAGCAGUGCUGACCCGCAUGCAGUGGACUUUCCAUGAAUAACACCCAAGGCUGACUACAGAUGUUUAGGUGGGGGUGCCGAGGGAGGGUUACUUGGCUGACUAGAAUUAGGGACAGCCGUGUGCAAAUUGCUUUUUUAGGGCCAGAGAGGCUGAGGCUGCUGGCUUCCAGUCACACAGCCUACAGGACAGCCCCUGAUUUCACAAGAGCAGGUUUCUGAUGCAUGAUCUAGCCCCACCCCUUCUUCACAGGCAGCUGUACUUGGAAGCAAAUGAUUUAGUGUUCCUGAGAGAGGAUUGUACAAAGAGAGUACUCAUUAGAGGGGGCUCAAUCUGUCAGGUGCUGUUAUAUUAGGAUCAGAGAGUCAUCAUAAAAUGACUUUCAUGCUGGUCUUGGCUGAUAAUUAACUGCAUGGCAUCGCCUGCGUAUUGUAGAGAGGCAAGGGUGCUGAUUUAUGCAUCCGUUUAAUUAUCUGAAUUGAAAGACUCUGUUCCCUGUAUUUGCAUCCACUGCCUGCGUGCUUUCUCUCUCCCCCAUAUUUCUGACAUUUGGAUUUUCCCCCUACUAAUUGACAUGCCUGUCGCCUCCUUCUCCUGGUGUCCAUUUCUGGAACUGCUAUUUGUAUAUUGCAUGAUAUUUUAUCAGGAAAAAAUAUAAAACAGAUCUAAUUUCAUGAAAAUGCUGUUGCCAUAAUGCUCAGGAGAACAGGGGGAAGAGAGAGAUUCAAGUCUUCCUAAUGUCUACCUUAUAUGCAGAGCCUUGGAAAGAUGGGCAAAUGCUCUGUGACAAGCCACCAGGGUAGACUGGUACUGAAAAGACCCUACUACACACAGGGGCUCUGUCCCUGGCUGGAAAGUUACAAGUCAGCCUACCUCUCUGUGAUCUGGUUUCCACACCUACUACUCUUUAUCCCAUGAGGAGCUUCUGGAAACUAAAAUAGCAGCUGCCCAGGUAGAAGAGUGUUGACCAAAGGACACAUCACCAGCACAGACUGUUAAUCAUGUGACUAGAGAAAACUCUCAUGGUGGCAUUCAAAUUUCCAUAUCCUUCUUCUAUGGAAAUUUCUGAGAGACCCAGAAAAGAAGCGUAACGACGAGGGAAAGUGAUUCCUGCAGACCUGAACAUUCCAGACUUACCAGGUGAUCCAGCUGUCUGUCAGCGGGAAGAGGCUGAGGCGCCCCCUUCUGGUGCAUCUGAAUAGUAAGAAACCCUGUGUAGAAAGAAACCCUGUAGCAAUUGGGCACCUUCUCCGUGAUCUGUCUGCUUCCAAUACCAAAAAUUGUUGCUUUUUAAAUGACAUCCAUCCUAAGCUUAAAAAAGACGCAUAUUAUUUGUAUAAAAUGUUGAAGACGCAGAACAAAAAAUGUAAAUCACAUGUAAUCAUCCCUUCCAGAAAUAAUCGUUAUUAAAAUUUCUGUGUAUGUGUAAAAAAAAAAAUUGCAAUCCUACUGUAAUAUAAUCCUGUAUACUGAUAUUUUUCACCUAUCACUGUAUGUUGAGCAUUUUCAAUAGUCAAAUUAUUUCUUGAAAAUAUUAAUGACUGGGGAGUAACCUUUCAAAUAGGUGUGUCUUUAUUUUUAAACCAGUCCACAAUUAUUGUAUAUUGAAGUCAUUUCCCAAAUUUUGUAAGUAUAAGUAUUGCAUCCAUCCUUAUAUGUAUUUAAAUGCAUCUCUUAUUAUUUCCUUGAGAUAAGUUCCUAGAAGUGGAAUCACUGGAUUUAAAAAUGUGGACAUAUUUAUGCCAGACGCGGUGGGUCAUGCCUGUAAUCCCAGCACUUUGGGAGACUGAAGCAGGUGGAUCACUUGAGGUCAGGAGUUCAAGACCAGCCUGGCCAACAUAGUGAAACCCCAUCUCUACUAAAAUUACAAAAAUUAGCCGGGUGUGGUAGUGCACGCCUGUAAUCCCAGCUACUCAGGAGGCUGAGGCAUAAGAAUCACUUGAACUCAGGAGGCGGAGGUUGCAGUGAGCCAAGAUGGCACCACUGCGCUCCAGUCUGGGCGACAGAGUAAGACUUCAUCUCAAAAAUAAAUAAAUAAAAUUAAAAUUAAAUAAGAUAAAUAAAAAAUAAAAAUGUGGACAUAUUUAAAUCUUCAUAUAUAUUACCAAAUGCCCUCCUGAAAGUUUUUACCUGUUACAUUCCAACCAAUAGUGUAAGGGCAUGACUCUUUCCCUGUGUUUUGGGAUGGAUGUUAUCAAAGUUCUCUCCCACCCAGGCCAAGUAUGGUAUAUGCUUUGAUUUAAUUUGAAUUUUUAAAUUAUUAUUUAAAAUGGACAUUUUGUUGUCCAUUUGAACAACUUUCUUUUGAGUCACUGUUCAUGUUCUUUGCCCAUUGUUUCUCUUUUAUUAGUAAGAACCCUAUUGUCAUUUUUAUAUUUUAAAUAAAAUUUCAUUGUAUAUACAUUUAUAUUAUCUAUAGUAAAGUAUAUUUUAUUAUUAAUGAGAACUUU